rnacentral:rRNA from 1 species
CUUGCUUUCUUUGCUGGCGACCGGCGCACGGGUGAGUAACACGUAUCCAACCUGCCCUUUACUCGGGGAUAGCCUUUCGAAAGAAAGAUUAAUACCCGAUAGCAUAAUGAUUCCGCAUGGUUUCAUUAUUAAAGGAUUCCGGUAAAGGAUGGGGAUGCGUUCCAUUAGGUAGUAGGCGGGGUAACGGCCCACCUAGCCCGCGAUGGGUAGUCGGGUUGAGAGACCGACCGGCCACAUUGGGACUGAGAUACGGCCCAGACUCCUACGGGAGGCAGCAUG